rnacentral:rRNA from 1 species
UUAACGAUGAAGAGUUUGAUCCUGGCUCAGGAUGAACGCUAGCGGCAGGCCUAACACAUGCA